rnacentral:rRNA from 1 species
UUAAAUUGAAGAGUUUGAUCAUGGCUCAGAUUGAACGCUGGCGGCAGGCCUAACACAUGCAAGUCGAGCGGAAACGAGUUAUCWGAACCUUCGGGGRACGAUAACGGCGUCGAGCGGCGGACGGGUGAGUAAUGCCUAGGAAAUUGCCCUGAUGUGGGGGAUAACCAUUGGAAACGAUGGCUAAUAC